rnacentral:rRNA from 1 species
CUGUGCCUACGGGGGGCAGCAGUGAGGAAUAUUGGUCAAUGGUCGGGAGACUGAACCAGCCAAGCCGCGUGAGGGAGGAAGGUACAGAGUAUCGUAAACCUCUUUUGUCAGGGAACAAAGGCGGGGACGUGUCCCCCGGAUGAGUGAACCUGAAGAAAAAGAAUCGGAUAACUCCGUGCCAGCAGCCGCGGUAAUAAGGAGGAUGCGAGCGUUAUCCGGAUUUAUUGGGUUUAAAGGGUGCGAAGGCGGGCUGUUAAGUCAGGGGUAAA